UUGUGAUUGUCACAUUGUCACAGAUCAGCAGUGACUUGUGCAUAAUGAAUUACUGUUCUUUCUUACAGGUUGCAAGUAAACCUCUAAUGAUUGUAGGGUCUAAUUAGCAACAGUGUCAACUCUUUUAACUAGAAAUAAUUGAUUAAAAACUUUCACUGUGAGAGGUAGGAAGAAGCAGGCUGUCUUUCUUUGUCUCUUCUUGAGCUCGAGGAAACUCCCUAGCACCCCUAAAGCAAACCUCAUUGCUCAAGGUGCAGCUCAGGUUUAGCCCCACAGCACUCCCUGGACGUGGAAUCUUCAGGAAUGGUUUAAACCUCACCAUGUGCUCUCUGAGGGCAGACAAGAAUGCCUGCUUCCUUAAGCGUGCAGAAUAGUAAACACUCCCCAAAUUGAACUUAUUCAGAGGAUGACUAAUAUAGAGGGGAAAAAAUCUAAUUGCUGGGCAACUCAGUAUCCCCACCAGUUCGAAUCUGGGUUUUCUGCCUUCAAUUUCCAUGCUCAUUUCAUUUCCCAAUUAUGUCUCCCUUUUAGCUCCACCCAUUCCUAAGAAACACCCAAUUUAAAAAAAGCACUGGAGCUCACGUGUCACUGGAUGAGAAAAGAAACUCUGUGUCACAGCAUGUAAUUCUGAACUAUAUGAUUUUCCUAAAGGUCUUGGACUUCAGGUGAAAGACGUUCUGUCAGCCAGGAUUCAGGAACAUCCCUCAGGAAGAGAGAGCUACCUGCUGCUUUGUCUGUGUAUUGUGCCCAGAGAGAGAAAUAUGUAAUCAGACAGAAAAGAAAAGUGUCUGUGGGGCUCAAGUUUGAGUUGAAACCAGGCUCAGGGUCCACCUGUCCUCGCUGAUCCGUGGAUUUCUGUGUGACCAGCUGACACCUAUGGAGCUGUGGCCCUGACUACUACCACCACUGCUGGAGCCCGGGUGAGCCUGGGGGCUCCUCCCACUCUGUCCCUCCCUGAGACAGCCCUCGCCACAGCUCCCGAGCCGGCCACCACGUCCCUGCAUACUUGAUCAUCAACUGUGCCACCAGAAGCCACCACAGCUUUGGGGCACAACCUGAAGACCCUCACAGUCACCUUCCCCAUCUCCACCCUCCAGUAUUCAUCAGACAGGAGCAAUGGCUCAGCCACGUUCCACUCCACUGAGAGGGUCCUGCAGAGCCUGCUGGAUCCUUGUUCAAGAAGAGCAGCCUGGGCCUCUUCUCCUUGAGUUGCAG